UUAGACGGGACCCCGCACAAGCGGUGGAUCAUGUUGUUUAAUUCGAUGAUACGCGAAGAACCUUACCAGGUCUUGACAUCCCUUGCAAAGCUAUGGAGACAUAGUGGAGGUUAUCAAGGAGACAGGUGGUGCAUGGUUGUCGUCAGCUCGUGUCGUGAGAUGUUGGGUUAAGUCCCGCAACGAGCGCAACCCCUACGUUUAGUUGCUAACGCGUGAAGGCGAGCACUCUAGACGAACUGCCGUUGACAAAACGGAGGAAGGUGGGAUGACGUCAAAUCAUCAUGCCCCUUAUGUUCUGGGCUACACACGUGCUACAAUGGCCGGUACAGACGGACGCAAAGCCGCGAGGUGGAGCAAAUCCUAAAAAGCCGGUCUCAGUUCGGAUUGCAGGCUGCAAUUCGCCUGCAUGAAGUCGGAAUCGCUAGUAAUCGCAGGUCAGCAUACUGCGGUGAAUACGUUCCCGGGCCUU
rnacentral:rRNA from 1 species